rnacentral:rRNA from 1 species
GGGGGGGGGUGGGGGGGGGGCGGGCGCAGGCAAGGCGGGGGGAGGGGGGGGGCUGGCGCCGGGGUUCGGCGGCGGACGGGUGGGUAAUGCCUAGGAAUCUGCCUGGGAGUGGGGGAUAACGUCCGGAAACGGGCGCUAAUACCGCAUACGUCCUGAGGUCGAACGUGGGGGAUCUUCGGACCUCACGCUAUCAGAUGAGCCUAGGUCGGAUUAGCUAGUUGGUGGGGUAACGGCCUCCCACGGCGACGAUCCGUACCGGGCCUGAGAGGAGGAUCAGUCACAUUGGAACUGAGAAACGGUCCAGAGUCCGACGGGGGGAAGCAGUGGGGAAGUUUGGAGAAUGGGCGAAAUCUGGAUCCAGCCAUGCCGUGUGGGGGAAGAAGGUCUUCGGAUUGUAAAGCACUUUAAGUUGGGAGAAAGGGCAGUAAGUUAAUACCUUGCUGUUGUGACGUUACCAACAGAAUAAGCACCGGCUAACUUCGUG